rnacentral:tRNA from 1 species
UGAAGGAGUAAACUAAGUAAAGUUUUUUGGCUCAUGACCAAAGUAUAGAUGUGUCUCGUCUCUCCUUU